UGUUUUUAAUACUGAAAUAUUAACCUAAUUAACUCCUAGAUAUGAUCUUAAAAAUCUAAUAUUCUAACCAAUAUUAUUCUAACUAACAGCCAUUAAAAUUCUAAUUAAUACUGCUACUAACCUCUAAAAUUAACAAUCCAUUAAUCCUAAACAAAUAACCAACAAUUACUAACCAUAUGAUCAUCAGAAUGGGCCUUGUGGAUCGAUUAGAGGGGGUGCAGUAAUGAAACAAAACGCUUGGGCCUGGUAGUGAUGAAGAUGCCAAUGCAAUUGGAUAGAAUGAGGAUGCUGCCUCCCUGCUCAUUCGUUAACUAACCAGAAGUAGAAAAUAGAAGAAAGGCAGAGCAGGACGCCCAAAACGAUGCCCUAGCCGCGCCGGUCAUCGGCGGCGGCGACUAUUCGCGGUCAUGCGACCCUACCUCACACCACUCUCCACCUCCUAAUCUAUCAACAAAGAGAAAACAACUCCUCCUAGCGAAACGAAGAUAUCAAGGUCUGGCUCUUACCACGGGCAGCGAAGGGAGAUCCAUCGAUCCGAUAUUCAACGUACGGUCCGGCGAUUCUUCAAUCCUCCUUGCUGCUCUUUUGAUUUGCUUCCAGAAAUGCGUUGUUGUGGUUCUUUGUUGGAAAAGGAAUGAAGAUCGGAGACGAGUUGAUGAAUGAGGUCGUCGGGAUCUUCAGAAGCACCGGCGCUAAUGAAUCGUCGGGAUGGAGAAGAAGUAAUGGCGAAUUCUCGAGAUCUACCACUGUUACAGUCUCGGAAAGCGGAGGAAAUAGCAUUCAAUAAUGGUGAAAUGCUGAGGUUCAAUCAGGAAUUCUGUUACAAGUUAUGGUUGGUUGCGGUUAUGGUGAAGAGGAGUUCUUGGAUGGAUUCGCAGUGGUUGAAGGUUGAGGCUGAAGGAUUGGUUGAAGACGAUUCCAGAUUGUGGUUGUGAAGUGUUUCAGAAUUCCUUCCGAUUGUGAAUUUUUUCUGUUGUUGAAGAUUUGGCGAAGGUUGUUUAGAGAUGCGAUAAGGAUUCGAGAGAGAGCUGGAAGAUGAGAAGAAGAUUGAUUUUAUAGGGUGAUGGUGAAGGAACUGGAACUCAGUAGUGAUUCCAUUGAAGAGUUGGUUGAAGGUUUGUUACAGGUUGAAGAAGAAAAAGAGGUUACGGAAAUUUGUUACGGUUAGGGGAGUUUUGGAGGGAAAGAAGAAGAAGAAGAAUCUGGAAACUUUGAGAAUUUAUAUAGUUGUGAGAGUGAGAUUAGAAGCAAUUAAGAAGAAAAUUAUGUUAUGAAUUUGUUAUUAUCCGGCUUUCCUUUUUCUGUUAUUGGAUUGUGAUUUUAUCUGUGAAAUUAUGCAGGAAUGGCGUUCAUGCUGGCUUGGCUUGGUGGAUUUUGGAAGUGGCUUUGCUCAUGAUGUGGCUGGCGUUUUGGAUGAAUGCAAAAUGCAGAAUUUUUCUUAAUGCAGAAUUUGUAAAUGCAAUGCAGAAUUUUUUUAAUGCAGAAUUUUUAAUGCAGAAUUUGUAAAUGCAAUGCAGAAUUUUUUUAAUGCAGAAUUUUUAAUGCAGAAUUUGUAAAUGCAAUGCAGAAUUUUGAUUUUGACUA